AGUGAGGAGGGCGCUUGACCCAGAUCUGGCCAAUAGGGGCUUAAAGGUCGCCUCUGUAGGAGGCACGUGACGCUUGAGAAACUUUUUUCUCUUUAUCUAAGAAAGGCAGAUGGUAGGAAUCAGUCUUGGCUCUCUGUCUGUGAACUGGUAGGGUGAAUAUGUGAUGUUAGCAGCUACAGCAGCCACAGUGAGACCCUGAGGAAAGAGGUAAAAAGAAUCCCAGAAGAGCUGAUGCAAGGCUUCCCCUGCUGAUGGGAUGAAUUAAUCAGCCCUGGAUCCCCCUGACUCUGGACUCCUUGUUGGCGGGAUCAUAGCCACCUAUGUUGAAGCCACUUUGGGCAAGAAAUCUGUUACAUGGAGCUGAAGACACCCUCGCUGAUCCAUUUCACUCCCAGAAUAACCCAAAUAUCUAGCUGACUGUUUCCUGUGCUGACUCCACUUUCUAACUACCAAAAUUUGUGUUUAUCCUGAAGAGAAAGAGGCCGUGGGUCAAAGUCAUAUCUCAUUCCGUGUGUGUCCUCCAGUGUCCUAGCAUCUUGCUUACCUCAUAGUUGGUGCUAAACGUGAGUCAUGAAUAAAAGUGUGUAAUGAAUGGUUUACAGCCAGGCCAUCAACAGAGCACAGCACUUCACCCAGACCAAUCUCUUUCGUGGUGUAAAGUGGGGGGAAAAACAGAGAGAGAGACUGAGAACCUGAGUGACUCAGUGUGCUCUUUGUGGUCACUGCUGUGAGAGCAGUCAGAGGACAAGGUCCAAAGGAGGGUGGAUCCGAAGACAAAGGGCCUGUGUUCCCCCAUCCCUGGAGGGAGGGAACCUGCCUGCAGACCAGGAAUUCAUCUACCAACUGUCAGAGGAGCUCGUUGUGGGAUAAGCCAGUAAAGUGUUGGCAGUUGUUCAGGGGGCUCCUGUCACCUCAGUGCACACACUUUCUCCUUCCUUUCCUUACAAAGCCACGCACCCAUCCUGAGAAGACCAGUCUCUUGGCUCCCUUGAGCCCUAGAGAGGUCAUGAGACUACGUUUUGAGUAGAAGGGCUCUGGGGAUUUCUGAGGAGGAUGUGGAAGUGAGGCAGCAGCCCCUUCGCUGCCAUCCCUUGUUCCUCUUGCAGGUGUGGAGGGCGCAUGUGAUGGCCAGACCCGCUCACAUGGCACCUUGAAGAUGCAAGCCGCGGGAGGCAAUGGAGCAGAAAGAUGGACACAGGGCUCUAAUCUUGGCACGGAGAAUCCAGACUUCUUCACAUGAGAGAGAAGAACUUCACUUUCUUUUUCGCCCAGUCAUUGUUACGUUGGCAUUUUGUUAAAUGCAGAUGCACUGAUCGCCAACCCAUCUAGAGCUCCUGGCCCACUCCACAGGCCCCCAGGGAAGGGGUCUACCAGGCCUCCAUCACCAGAACUGGCCCAUCUCCUUGGCACCCUUGGGCCUAUGCAUGUGCUCCUCCCUCGCCCUGGAGUGUCAGUCACCUGGCUAGUCUAGCCCGUCAUUCCACUUUCAGUCAUUUUCUCCAGGGUGCCCUCCUGGCCCAACCUCUAGGUCAGAACCACCCCCCCACCUCCAACUUCUUCUUCACUGUCCUAGCACAAUUAUAAUCCUAUAUGCGUCUGUGGGUCCAUCAGAAUGUCUCCCUUCCCCAUGACACUGAGCAACCUGAAAGCAGGCAGCCCCAAGUUUGUUCCCCUCUGUGUCCCCAGUCCUGAGCACGGUCCCAGCACACAGGAGACACGCCCUCACGUGUACCAAGUCAUGGCCCCAUGUGCCUUCAGGGGCCAUGUUUCUGCUUCUAUGAGGUCAAGAUGAUGUCAGUAUAGGCACGUUGGCCUCAGAAUGCCCUAGCAUGGAUUUUAUGCCCAACCCCUUUCUCACUGUAAAAUUUCAGGAAGGUGACUGCUGUGACCCUGAAAGUGGGCAUGAUGGGAGGCCCAGGCCCAGGGGCUGUGGAGAGAACCCUGUGAAGAGCACAUGAAAAUGCUCAGCUCCCUGCCUGUCACGGGCCACCUCCGUGCCCAUCACAGCCCCAAGGUGGACACACAAGUAACUCCUGAUUCCUUUUGCCCAGGUCUUUGAGGACAUUCUUCCACUUUCCAUUCUUGUAGAUGGCUGAUGAAAGAGGUCACGGGGCAGUCCACCAGCCCAUCCAGUGUCCAGCAGGGGCUAGGGAGACACACAGCAACUACACCCGGCUUUCCUGUCUGCUGGAUGGAGUCAUCCUUUCCCUCCUUGAGAAGACGCAGGCUGGAUCCCGUGGGGCUGGACCCCAGAUGGCUGAGUGUGGUCAGAGUAUAUUGUGAACAUGGACAAAGGAAACCUAAAUCAAAACAGAGUCAGGAAGCCAUGGAGGGAGGGCUCUCCUGCUCUGUCCCUCACCGCAGCUUCCAGAGCCCAGCAGGGAGAAAGAAGAUUUCCUUCUGACCCAGCAACAACAAGCUACCCACCACUUGCAGCCAAUGAAAACUGCCGUAGCCCUCCCCAGUUUCCUCCUAAAACCUAAUAAAAGCCGACCUUUCCCUUGUCUUUUCAGACUUACCUGUAGUUCACCAUAGUGUGCUUGUCUCGAAUUGCAAUUCCUCUGCUAUUCCCAGAUAAACUCAUUUUGGCUGGCUAAAGACCUUGCUAUUUCAUUUUUAAGGUCAACAUUUCAUGGCAACCAGGCAGGAAGGGACCCGAAGGAGACGGACCCCUGAGGAACUAACAACCCUCAGAACAACGUGCGAUACCCACUGGAGACCUUUGUGCUCCCUGCAUCCGGGAGCCGCCAUCUUCCUUUCAGUUUGUCUCAUCCUACACUGAAUCAGAGGUGGACCAUGUGACCCAUUGAUGAAAGUGACAAUGUGCAACUCCUAAGGAAAUGCCACAGGAGUCAUUGUGGCUUUUGCCUUGUUCUAUUGAGUCACUCUUUCUUGGGAACUUAGCUGCCAUGCCACGAGGACAUUCCAGAAGCCCUGUGAAGAAGACCACAUGGGGAGUAAGGGAGGUCUCCCACCAACAACCAGCGCACACCUUCCAGCCGUGUGACCAGGCCACCUUUGAAGCAAUACUCCGUUUCCACUUAAGGUUUCAAAUGAUUGGAGCCCCAGUCAACAUCUGAAUAAAACAAAACAAAAUCUUAUGCCAAAAAAACACCGAAGCACACUGAAACUAUAAGAAAAUAAAUGUUUAUUAUUGU